AAAAAAAAAGAUUAGCACCGGGCAGACAAGGUCUCGCAGAAUUGCUAACACAUUUGCUGGUUUUUAAGCUGCGGCAAACGAGUCUGCGGGGUCUUUCCAAAAUACCAGAAGAGCAUGGGAAUGUUUGCAAAACAUUUUUGGCUGCAGCCGUUGACGGGAUGAAAGCCAAGGCAAGGGAAGAGACAGACAGAUAGCUUUGCCGCAGAUCCUCCGUGAAGUCCAAGACCAAGGCUUGCUGACCCCCAAGCGAGGGACCAUUUGUCAAGAGGGAAGACAUCCCGUGCGCCCGGGAAACCGCGAGAAACAGCAUUUCAAUUGUCUUAUAUAUGCUUCAAAAUAGCACCGAUUAUGAAUUCUCAGUAAGUAGAUAUGUGGCAGUCACUACAGAGGCUAAGCUUACCGAAAUAUAAGAUAGAUGCAGGGAUUAGAGAGAGAGACAGACAGAUGGAUAAGACGGACAGACAGAAAGCGGAGGCAGGCCAACCAGUAUUCCACAUUUGCACAUUAGCACGAGACAAUGGCGUUUUAAUAAUUUAAAAUAAUAAAAAAAUUUAAUCACUGG